rnacentral:misc_RNA from 1 species
AACGCAUCUUGCACUAUUCGGCUUCCCCGGAUAGUAUGCCUGGUUGAGUGUCUGUGUAUCUCUCCUAACCCUAGUGUUUUUAAUAGAUGCUAGAUGGCUAGGGACUUGGGGUCUUAAUCUCGUCGGAAACUCUUUUUAAUAAGUGUAACCCGGUGAACCCUUUAAAUAUAGUAAGCUCCCAUCUUUUUCUCUAUGGAAAUACGCAAACUUGGGGAUGGCGUCGUAGCAAUCUUUUGUAUUGUCGAAGCGCCUAUAACAACUCCUCUAAUCUGCGGUGCUAAUCCAUUCGAGGUGGGCGAAGCUUAACGACUGGCAAAGUGCCAUGCUCUACUACUUACUUCAGAGCACACGAACAAUAAUGACCUCAACUCAGGUAGGACGACCCGCUGGACUUAA